rnacentral:rRNA from 1 species
AUUGAACGCUGGCGGCAGGCUUAACACAUGCAAGUCGAGCGGAGAGGGGUAGCUUGCUACUGAUCUUAGCGGCGGACGGGUGAGUAAUGCUUAGGAAUCUGCCUAUUAGUGGGGGACAACAUUUCGAAAGGAAUGCUAAUACCGCAUACGUCCUACGGGAGAAAGCAGGGGAUCUUCGGACCUUGCGCUAAUAGAUGAGCCUAAGUCGGAUUAGCUAGUUGGUGGGGUAAAGGCCUACCAAGGCGACGAUCUGUAGCGGGUCUGAGAGGAUGAUCCGCCACACUGCGACUGAGACACGGCCCAGACUCCUACGGGAGGCAGCAGUGGGGAAUAUUGGACAACGGGCGCAAGCCUGAUCCAGCCAUGCCGCGUGUGUGAAGAAGGCCUUAUGGUUGUAAAGCACUUUAAGCGAGGAGGAGGCUACUUAGAUAAUACCUAGAGAUAGUGGACGUUACUCGCAGAAUAAGCACCGGCUAACUCUGUGCCAGCCGCCGCAGUAA